CUCAGGUCCAGGUCAGCCAUCCCAGUGCCUGUAACAGCCAGCCAGCCAACUGGAACUGGGCCGGAGACGAAGCAGGGCGGGACUCGCGGGACUUCCGGCGCCAAUUCGCGCCCCGGAAGAGCUCAUUCCUGCGACCUCGCGGUGACCAAUCAAUGCCCAGAACGCUCCCUGACGCCAGACCCCAAACUGGCAGCCCAGCUCGCUCAGUAGCCGUCCCCCCUUGGAUGUAACCAUGUAGAAACGAAGGGGGGAAUUCGAAAAGAGACGAGGACAGCUGCAGCUUAAUACCGGUGUCCACUCGGACUCAGAUGCAGCCGGAAGCCGGAAUGGAGCGAAUGGGGAUGGAGCCAGUGGUGCCAUGGGUGCCUCCGCUGGGAACUCUGGUCGAUGCCCGACGCGGUUUAAAGAGACCCUGCGGUUCCAGGACUCUACCUCAGUGGCGGGAAAACCUCAACCUGCACUGCGCAGGCCCAAGUCAGGGAGCAUGCGCAGUGUGUGCGCACGCGCCUCUUUCUGCGCAUGCGCCUUAGUGCGCAUACGCCUUCCUGAGCGCAUUCUGUGAGAACCGUUGGGCCUGAGACCUGUGUGUUUAUUCAGUUCCGGUUCAUUUUCACUACUUGAGACUCACCCGGGAGAAAUAUGAGUGGGCAAGUGGCAUCAACACUGGGACCUACAGGUCAAGAUUCUUCCCAGCUGGAUGAACCUGUGGUUGACCAGCAGCCCAGUGUUGAGCAACCUCAACAAGAGGAACCACCAGCAGAGAUUCAGGAUAUCACACCUGGAAAGGAGGAAGUCAAUGGAGAGGAUCCAGUGAAUCAUGAUGAAGAGAAGGAGAAGGAUGCCCCUCGAGAUUCUGACCUGGAAACUGAUCUCCAGGAAUUGGCUUUGGCAAAGACUGGGGGUCAAGGCGGAGAUGGUCCUGAUGUCAAGGAGGAGAUUGCGUCAAAUACAGAGACUGUUGAAAUGCCAGAGGAGGUGAAGGGGAACCAUUUGCUUGAAAGAAGAUAAACUGAAACCAUCUAUGCUGUUCUUAUGCUGUUUAUUUGACUGUUAAAGUUCUGUCAAUAAAGUUUCAUUUUCUACUUGCA